GACUACCGGGGUAUCUAAUCCCGUUUGCUCCCCACGCUUUCGUGCCUGAGCGUCAGCAAUUGUCCAGGUAGCCGCCUUCGCCUCUGGUAUUCCUCAUGAUAUCUACGCAUUUCACUGCUACACCAUGAAUUCUGCUACCCUCUCCAAUGCUCUAGCCGUGUAGUUUUAGGCGCAAUUCCGAGGUUAAGCCUCGGGCUUUCACACCUAACACACACGGCCGCCUGCGCACCCUUUACGCCCAGUGAAUCCGAAUAACGCUUGCAGUCUCUGUAUUACCGCGGCUGCUGGCACAGAGUUAGCCACUGCUUCCUCUCUGGGUUAAGUCAGGCUUCAAGCUGUUAACUUGAAGCGUUUCUUCCCCAGUGACAGAGGUUUACAACCCGAAGGCCUUCAUCCCUCACGCGGCGUCGCACCAUCAGGCUUUCGCCCAUUGUGAAUGAUUCCCCACUGCAGCCGCCCGUAGG
rnacentral:rRNA from 1 species